rnacentral:tRNA from 1 species
UGGUAGCUCAGUCGGGUGAGCGCUUGCUUCUCAAUCAAGAGAUGCGGGUUCGAAUCCCGGCGUUGACAU